GUCCACGCUGUAAACGAUGAGAGCUAGUUGUCGGCACGCAUGCGUGUCGGUGACGCAGCUAACGCAUUAAGCUCUCCGCCUGGGGAGUACGGCCGCAAAGGUUAAAAACUCAAAGAAAUUGACGGGGGCCCCGCACAAGCGGUGGAGCAUGUGGUUUAAUUCGAAGCAACGCGAAGAACCUUACCCACGUUUGACAUGUCUAGUUUGGUCGUCAGAGAUGACUUCCUUCAGUUCGGCUGGCUAGAACACAGGUGCUGCAUGGCUGUCGU
rnacentral:rRNA from 1 species